GGAUUAUAUACCCUGGUAGUCCACGCAGUAAACGAUGAGUGCUAGUCGCUGGUACAAUAGUAUCAGUGUCGUAGCUAACGCAUUAAGCACUACGCCUGGGAAGUACGGUCGCAAGAUUAAAACUCAAAUAAAUUGACGGGGGCCCGCACAAGCGGUGGAGCAUGUGGUUUAAUUCGAAGCAACGCGAAGAACCUUACCAGACCUUGACAUGGUAUGUUUGAAUUACAGAAUCGUAAUUCUUCAGUUCGGCUGGCAUGCACACAGGUGCUGCAUGGCUGUCGUCAGCUCGUGCCG
rnacentral:rRNA from 1 species